AGGGGGACGGAGAGAUUGACGGAGACGUCACUCAUCGUAUAGGAGCGGGGUGGUCAAAGUGAAGGCUUGCAUCAGGAGUCAUGUGUGACAAGAAAGUUCCACAGAAAUUUAGGGGGAAAUUUUAUAGAGUUGUGGUUAGACCUGCAAUGUUGUAUGGGGCAGAGUGCUGGCCAGUGAAGAACUCUCAUGUUCAGAGAAUGAAGGUN
rnacentral:lncRNA from 1 species